rnacentral:rRNA from 1 species
GAUGAACGCUGGCGGCGUGCCUAACACAUGCAAGUCGAGCGAUCUUCUUCGGAAGAGAGCGGGGGACGGGUGAGUAACGCGUGGGUAACCUGCCUCAUACACAUGGAUAACAUACCGAAAGGUAUGCUAAUACAAGAUGAUAUGAGAGAUUCGCAUGGAUUUCUUAUCAAAGCUUUUGCGGUAUGAGAUGGACCCGCGUCUGAUUAGCUAGUUGGUAAGGUAACGGCUUACCAAGGCGACGAUCAGUAGCCGACCUGAGAGGGUGAUCGGCCACAUUGGAACUGAGACACGGUCCAAACUCCUACGGGAGGCAGCAGUGGGGAAUAUUGCACAAUGGGCGAAAGCCUGAUGCAGCAACGCCGCGUGAGCGAUGAAGGCCUUCGGGUCGUAAAUCUCUGUCCUCAAGGAAGAUAAUGACGGUACUUGAGGAGGAAGCCCCGGCUAACUACGUGCCAGCCGCCGCAGUAACAC